UCCCUUUUUUGCUGACUGAUUUGCACAUAAUGGUCGAGAAUUCCUCACCAAGCAUGGGACGCCGAAGUAACUAGACACCCCCGCCUAGUAACGGCUUCGGAAAAAAGGGGCGUUGGUAGGUUACUGUAUGGUUUAACAGUUCGCUGAGGCUCUUCUUAGACGCCAGAAUGCAGCUGUCUUGGCUGGGUGAACUUCCUAUGUGCUGUGUUGGUUGGUAGAUUUUCACUGGGAAAAGCUGGGGUAACUGGUUGAAGCAAGGAACCUUCUUGCAACUGAGGACAGUUUCAACCACAUAUUGGUAGUAACAGAGUCCAAUACAGUACCACAAGACGUCAGUUUGAGACUUCUGAUUGCCAAAACUGACCUGAAGACGAGAUAUGAAGAGACAGAUGUUAUAGUACCUCGGCAAGUGGAGGGCUAGUACAUUACAAUGAUGUCUGAUGACAUUGAUGUAUUCGUCUCGCUCAUUCAUCACUACUUGCUCAGGAAACUAGCAGCUCUCUUAUUAUGAAAGGGGCCAGUUUAUAUGGAAGGGACUAGUUUGCAUUGCACAAUUUUUGAGAUAGGAGCUACAGCAAAGAAGCGUGUAACUAUUGUAUCACAACUUCUGUCCCUACACGUUCUCUCUGGCCGUAAGACGGAAGCGUACAUGUUGGGUGUGGAAAAGCAACAGUUGUCAAAGUGCUUCUGAUAGGCCACAAAUUUGUCAGCUUUGGAAACCUGGAAUCAAUUGUGGACGAAGUUAUUGAUGAAGGGACUGCAUUUUUUCGCAGCGUGUUAUAGAAGCAAAGACAUCGACAAUACGUCUGAUAUUCGGUAUACAAUAUGAUUGAUCAAAACUACAAAGAAGAACCUCAGUAAAAUUCUGGAAUUGAAUUUCGUACCAUCAGCGUCGGAAUUAUUCGCACACAAACGCCAAGCGAGAACAUCUUCAAACCUGCAUUGGAUCCAGACCCGCCUAACCUUGACUUCGAGGAUUUGGGGUGGGUCAAGGAUAUACAGUCCAAAUCUCUUUCGCCCGUGACGAUGCAUACUAAUGAGAUGUGGAUGCGCAUCUGAACAUCCCUGUUCGACCACGAUAUGUGGCCGCUACAGUUAGUUAACAUAGUUUUCUGUAACAUGACAAAUAAUUCCACAACAGGUGUAGAAAGACGCUACUGAGUCGAGUCAAAGAGUAUUCCAGCUAUGACCUCAAAGAAACUUAUGAAUCAGAUAAAGUUUGAAUUGGCUUUUUAAUCACAGGUCUAAUGUUUUACAGACACCUCGAUCUAUUUAAUAGUAUCAAUCCAUUAUAUCCGUCAUCAUUCAUCUGUCUAUUAGCCUUUUAUUUGUUUGCUUGUCUUUUCCAUGGAUAAUUCAUUUGGUCACUAAUUUUGGAAAAUUAUGGUCUCUGGGUGUCUAUUGUCAUCUCAAAGUAGUUUAAAAAUUCACGAAAUCUACUAUUUUGUAAGCUUGUGCCAAUAAAUAGCUCCAACUGA